rfam:Triticum aestivum genome assembly, contig: Triticum_aestivum_CS42_TGACv1_scaffold_486772_6AS
UCGAGCCGUAUGAAGGGAAACUCCCACGUACAGUUUGUUUUGGGGGGGGAAGGAGCCCGACAGGGUCCCCCCACUGACUUGGCCCGGGCCUAAGUGAAAGUGCAAAAGUGAAGUGGUGGGCCUACCCAUCC